GCCAUGCAGUGGGCUCCUGGGCUCUGCAAAUGCCCCUCUGGCAGAGACAAGGAGCCAACUGCAAUGAAACGAACGUCACUCUGCUGGGAGCUCUGACCCCAAACUUUUCCUCUGGCCUCUCUUAACUCUGUGUGUGCUGCUUAAUCCCUACAUCAGGGACAAAGCCUGCGAUCUGCUUGCGGAGUCGAUAGGAAGGAGGAACGUGGCCCUCAGCCUCUAAUCCUGCAGAAAUGCAUGUCCUUGAGGGGCGUUCGUCUUCAAACCCAGCCUUUGUGGCCUGGGCUAAUUGCUGGUCAGCGCUAGCAAAGAGCACUGACGUGACCCGGAGCUGACAGGCACCAAGCUGUAGCCAAGGGAUGUUUCGGGGGGCUUUCCCCGCCCAGCUCAGGCUGUUUAUUGCAGCUCGCUCUGCAGCCCUUUACCUCGGUGAACUUCCCUGUCUCUGAUGGAUAAGCGGGAUUUUUCUUCAUGGAAAUGUUUGUUUGUGGUAGGAAUCGCUUCUUGAUAUCCACAUGAAAUCUGCCUCAUCCUGAAUUUCCCCACCUUUGCCAUGGCCCUGCGAGGUAGGGGGAGUUGGCUGUCUGUUUCUCCUGCUCCGAGCAGGGUGUUUGCGUCUGAGCGCUGCUGGCACGCCUCUGUUGGCUGGUACUAGAAAGCAGCAAAAUGGGGCUAGAAUUAGAAAUCGCAUUAGCCCUCCCAUCCCUCCCCCUUGGCGAGGGGUGGGGCAGGAGGGAGGGUGGGAGUUUUAGACGGCGCUUCUGAUGAAAUCCAUCUCCCUUUCCUGGCCCUCUGCAUGGAAGCAAUCCCAGCAAAACAGAGAUGCAGAUGGUCUCACCCCUGGAGCCAACGCCUGUGUCAAGAGCCUUGGAAAUCCUUCUUGGGGGCCUGAAGAAAGGCUGAUGAAAAACAAUCACCCCUGCUUGGACGGCUUGGCGAAGGGUUUGAUAUCCCAUCGUGCGAUCCCAUCUGGAAGGGUAUUUUCCAGGUACAUCACUGCGUCUCCUGCCUUCAUUCAACCCCCUCCAGCAUUACCACACGUUGGAGUUUCAGUGGCAGCAUUGACACCGGGUACGACGGGCCCCCAGCCAGCUUCAACAUCUGACUUGCACAAAGGGAAGAGCCAUUCGGGUCGUGGCCUCAUGCCCUGUACCUGCAGGGACCGGCUGCCCUGCUCGCUGCUCUCUGUGGGAGCGCUGCCUCGCUGCCUGUGGUCCUCCAGCACCCGCCUUGCCUUUUGGCACGGCCACUGCUCCAUCCCGAUGGGUCCUCAGCGCCAGCUCUUGCUGUACGGAUGCCACCCUCGGGCUUAGUGUAGGUUUUAGGGAUAAACUUGUGUCUGUCUGUCCCAGGUAGGUGCAAGUCGUGGGCUUCUUGGCAGGAUGGUGCGAAGAGCUACGAACUGAAGGCCCAGCCCCUGACCUUCCUUUGAGAAAGUUAGGAGUGUGUGGAGCUACUCAAAGAAAGGCACAGCAGAGGAGAAAGUAUUGAGAAGCAGUUUGGUGCUGGCUGUUUCAGAAUGAAUUGGUUUGACGUUAAGGAUUUCUUUCCAAACUUCAUUCUUUUUGCAUCUUUUCUCAGCUCUCACUCUUUCACAACUUCCUGCUUAUUUCUUCUAGCCCUCUCACUUCUCCGAGCUUUUUCCUUCUGCAAUAAGUGGCAGGGAUCAAAAUAAAUCAGUCUGUGUCUGCAAGAAUCCAGAGCACAUGGACAUGCAACAAUUCACUGAAUAUUCAGAAAGAAAGGUAGGGAAUUAAUCAGAUCAGCAAGGCAACUAUGAAUCUAAAGGAAAUAUAACCAUGAUAAAAUUCCCGGUGCUGGAGCAGCACGGAGUUUAAUCAUUGGAGAUGGCGAAAAGCUUGUGAGUGUUUUGAGGCAUUUUUAUUCUUUCAGUCAUGUCUUUUGAGAUAAAAAGUAAUAAGCUAAUUAAAAUGUAACCAAGCGUGGCUCUGAGUAAUAAGGUGAGGGUAUGGACAUAAAAUAAACAAAACCCAACAAACACCCAAACAAAUAUACGGGCAGUCCUUCUGUCUGGUGCGGGUUGGAUGGUCGUGUUUCAGCUUUCAGAAUCAGAGCUGUAAGGGAUGAGGAAAUUAAGCCCUGGUCAAGCCAAAGCUCCAAAAUUAUUGUAUCAGUCAGAAGAAGGCAGCAAGUCCAGGGGAGGGAUGUUUGAGAGCAUGCACGGCACACGCAUUGCGAUAAAAAAGGAUGUGUCUGCUUGCCAGGAGGGGCUGGGUGCCACUCGUUUGGUUGUGUGUUCUGGUUCUGACUGCAGAAAGGAGUCUGAAAGGCAUUUAUUAUUUAACUUGCUGAUUUGGGAGAGGCGUGGAAGAAGCACAGUUACUGACCUCCAGGUGAGCCGCAGGCUGCAGCUUCUGGGCUGUGUUCAGUGCAGCGGGGCCCAUGGAGAUGGCACUCAGGGCAGACCCGGACCUUUGUCGGAAUGGUGGGGUGGUUCUGGGUGUUUUCUCUUACUGCAGCUACAAAUCUGGGGUAAGGGUGGGAAGGCAGGUGAGCGAAGGGCUUGGAUGCGAGGAGGUAGCAGGGCUCUGUUUGAUAGGCCUCGUCUUUGAAUUCUGCUUCAAAAGUCUGGGGGAAUGGUGGUGUGCGUCCAUGACUUAUUUAUUUCUUCCUUCAGAUUUCCAGGCAGGACUGUAGGUGUGCACCUUGCCCAUAAAUUAAACAUCACAACGCAAACAAAGGGCUGCUCAUAAAUAUCUGCACCUCAACCCGUCCUUAUCAGAAGUCUUGGAGGGAAGGAGGUGGGCUCUGUACCAUGAAGUGGAGAUGUCCUCGCUCAUCCUUCUUGAGAAGGUGCAGCCAGGGCUUUGUUAAGGUCCUAGCUCUUUUUGGUUUGUUUUGUUUUUCUGCUGGAAUUACACCCUGCUUUUCUUUCACCUGCGCUGUUACCUCAAGCUUAAUUCCAACCCACCGAUUAUUUUCUGGUGCAAAAAAUCUUCUCCUUCAGCUGAUGAUGCUGACAACACAGAGUAGCUCUCUGCCCUAGCCUUGUGCCCUCUGCAAAUGGAUGUUUUUGCUGUGCCCAAGCUUAGGCGAAGCUUGUGCUGCUGUGAAGCCUUGCGUGCUGCCACAAUUUGUGUUUCUGGGGGGGUGUAAGGCUGGGAUGGCUCUGCAGAAACACAAGGCCCACUGGACCCACAGCAGGAAUGCUGAGCUGAAACCCGGUGAAUCUGAGGCGAGAGGUGACGUGCCCUUCAGGAAGAACUUAGCAUGUAAGCUGAGAAACCUGCCACCUGAACUUUUAGACCUUCUCCUGGUCUACGUGAGGAGGAGCAGAGGCUUUGCAGGAGAGUGGAGUGGGUGCAGACCACCCUCGUGUGGCACCCAGUGCCAGGGGGCACUGCCAGCAGCGUGACACCCCCUGUGUGUGCCCAGCACCGCCUGCAGGGCUCCAACCUCCAGGGCAGACAUCAAAGGCAGAGAAACAGCCCUCGCUGUAGCAGCACGAGGACUCUGGAGGAGGCUGGGGGGAGCUUUUUCACACUCGACUCUCCUGCCGCUGCGUGCUGGGUGCAGCCAGCAGCUCCAUCGCUCUGGUUCUUCCUGCCCAGAAAGCGCUGUUUCCAUUUCCUGCCACAGUGGUGAGAAAAGCCUUCGUGUCGCUGCCUUCUCCCUCGCCCCGUCAACCCCCUCUCCCCAGUUGAGUCUGCUUUUGGACACGCAGCAUGCACAGAGGGGUACUCCCCAUCCCACACACUGCUCACCGGGCGGGCAGCCCUCGGUAAUCUCCUGCAUCUCGUUCACAGAAGUGCUCGCUCUUGAAAAGAAAUGUCUGGUGGUUAACGUGGUUCCAGUAAAAUACCUAGUGAGUAGGUAGCUAAUUUCCAUAAUACAGAGAAGCAUCAAGAAAAGAAAUCUCCUGGGCUUGGUGUGCAGCAGAGCAGUUGCCUCUCGCUGACAGCAGGCGUGUGCUGUGCUCAGGACUGGCUCAGGCUUGCUUGGUGCUAGCUUUCACCCUUGCCUACUUAGAGGCUACUGAAUGCGGUUUAAACCACAUGUGCUUGAACUGGUGUUGAACCUGUUAGGGAAAAAAAAAAAAAAAAGGUGUUUUUUCCAGUGUGGGAUGGGGCCGAGCGGCCGUACAGAGAGCUGCUGUCACUGCUGUGCGCAGCGAGGCAGCUGCGCCUCGCCAGCGCUGCUCAGUGCUCUCCCUUGGAGAACUGCUCCAGCUCAACAUCUGUUUUUCCAAAUGCCUCUGCAACACUCCUUUUUUUCUAUUUUUUUCUCCCCCAAAUGCUUCUCGAGCUCUGUUGGCUGACUUGCAUCUGGAGGUCAAGUGCUUUGCCCCCGUGGGUCACGCAGCAAGCGAGCCCUUUGAUCCUCAUCCCGACAGACAAGAGCACUCCGAGGCACCGCUGCUGCCGGGGCUCAGAUCUGAGCUUCGGGCGUUGGAGGCAGGGCCCACGGUGGCUGGGAGCUCUGCUGGCUGCAGGCAGCGAAGGAGUAGCUGUUUGCUUCAGAUCUGACCCGGUCCCAGGCCCGAACGCGGGAAGGUUGCUCUAUAAAUGGCCCGGAGGUGUGAACCGCCUGCUUUAUCGCUCUGUCCUCUCACCUUGGGUAAAAGUGAAAUGCAGCGUUGCAUUUCAGCUGCAAUGGGCCCCGCACCCCAAGGGGCCUGCUGGCUUCGACGGGGGUUGCUGAAUGCUCAGCUCCUGGGAUUUGCAGCCCCAAUUUGCAGUUAAUGAACGUGUUUGGGCUGAAGCAGCAGGCGAGCACAGUAAGAGCUCAGUCCCGGGGCCCUCAGGCAGCAGGGUGCAGCUUUCUGGCUGCUUUCCCCUGCAGCGCAGGCACAGCCACAUGCAAGCUCGGCAGAUGCAGUGGUAUUUACCUCGGACAGGUUGGUUUUCUUCUCCUCCCCCGAUGCCUCCGUCCGCUCUCUCGUGGAGGCCUCUAGAGCUGUGUUGGUGCGGGUGUCCUCCGUACCCAGCACGUCCCAGCAUCCCUGGAAGUCUUUUUGCCGUUAGGAGGGCUGCAUGAGGAGACAAAGCGCUGCCUGACCACCUGCCAGGAAUAUCUCAGUGCUUAACACCUCCUUUUGUGGGCAGGCAAGAGUUGCAUGAAGCUGAAGAUGUUCCAGCCUUGCAGUUCUCCCCCUUGCAGCCCUUUGCACCUUCCAGCAAGGGGAGCUGAGGACCUGCUCCCUCCUCCUCCAGCGUAGCAGCCCCCAGGCUGUCCCCAGGUAAGGGAGGCAACACCUCAGCAUCGCCUUCCCGUCUGCGGGGGCUGACUGCCACCCCACAGUGGACAGGAACCUGUGCCCCGACGGCUGAUGUGCUGAGCAGCUGCUGCAGGGCCGCGUUUCAUAGCCACGCUCUGCUCCCAGACCACUUGCUCCUUUCUCUGGGACCCCCAGACACUUGCCUCUGUGCCUGGCAUUUAUAUCCCCGUUAAUCUGCUUGUUCUGACUGCUCUUUUCCUUGUGUGGCUCUGUUGCACGCUUUGGGUCCCUCCUGGCAGCGGGAAGCCCGCAGAUCUCAGCCUUCCCUCAUUUCUCUGGUAGGUGAGGGCUCUCUGGUGGCGUUCUGGACCACACAGACCCCAUGGCACGGGGAGCGUGCCCGGGAAGAUGACGCUGUUGCUGCACAGGCAGCUGGAGCAUUGUUAGACUUCAAUGCAAUUCUGAAUGGCCUCGGAUCUGCCUCUCGUGUUUCCCAUUCCCAUAUUCACUCGGCAUCAGAGGCUUGCAAAGUGUGCUUGCAAAGCGUGCUGCCCGGCCUUCAGCCAUGCUCGCAGACCUGCACCCAGUGGAAAAUGUCAGCCUUAAAGACUGUGAAAUAUUCUGAAUUGUCCCAACAUUGCACUCCACAUCUUAGGUAUCUGCUACCCCCUCCUUGCACAGUGUAGCAACAACUUUUCUUUCUUUUUUUUCUUUCUUUCUUUAUUUUUAAGGGGGAGCAUUCAAGCCUGUUGUCUCCGUUUAGCUCUGCUUGGCCGUAGUGUAAAAUACGGUGGUUGGUGUAGAGUCCCAGCUGGCAAAGUCCUUGCUAAAUCUUUUGCAGAUCGGGAAGCUGACGAGCAGAGCAGCUAAAUGCCUCACUCAACGUUCACACAGCAGUUCAGUGACAGCUGGAAGAAUCAGCCCCCGGAUCCCCAGCUCCCCUUCGCCUGGCCAGCGGCAGGUACGAGAUGUCAGGCAGGAGCAGUGAUUUCCCUGGGGCCCCGUGCCUGGCGGACGCUGCCCAUCAUUUUCUCUGCAGCACGACACAGCCACGUUGCCA
ensembl:lncRNA